UUUCUUCCUCCUCUUCGUCUUCUUUUUUUUUUUAAACAAACUUUCAUUCAUUUAUGGUCUUCCGCAACCUGCUAAUUUAACACUGGAGCGCGUUAUUGCAGUGUUAGGAGGAGAGAAAGAGGGAGAGAAAACAACAAUACUGCAAUGAUCCAAAUGAUACAGUAGAAUUAUAGCAAUUAUAGUUCUACUUGUGGAAGAAAACCUUGCUGAGAUCAAGCAAACAAACUGAAGCCUUGUGAGGAUAACAAGCCUCGCGAUUGACAGCCGGUGCUGGGAAGAGUCGGAGGGCACAAACAGAAAUAUUUGCCUCCCUAGCCCCCCUUAACUCCAACCAGUAAAGGUUAACCUUCUCAAACGCUGCUUUUAGUCUUAUCCACUUCAGGCUUAUGACAUUUUAUGCACUAAUCGAGAUUUCUCCUCCUGGAAGUCUGGUAAUAGGAGGAAAUGUGACAUAAUCCGCUUGCCUAGAACUUGCCCUCACCGUCUCUGCCCCCCAGUUUACCCUUCACUUCCUACCCUUGCCUCAUUUCUCCCCAGGCUGCUGAGAUCCGUCUGCAGACCGGGUUUGUUGACGUGCUUUCAAAGAAGCGGUCCCGGAGAAGUCCAAAGGGCUCAGCAGGGAGAGGGUUCCCCCCCCCCCCUUCUGUUUUGGAAGUAUCGUAUUGGAUCUCGGCCGAGCCCUCAAGGUUUGCUCCAAAUACAGAUCUGGGCAAGGAGGUCGCUGCUUCAAGUCUGUGCUCAGAGUGCAGGGCGUGCUUCCCCUCCCACCGGUGAGAAGCAAAUAGCUGGGUUCUGGGCUCCUCACCCGAGUCCCUUGGCAGGAGGUUCCCAUCUGCUGCUGCUCUUCCCCCCACCCAGGUUUCCAAAUCCCAGAGGGAAGCUUCUCAGCCCCUUAAUCGCCGCCAUCUGCUUUCUACUCCCCAUCACCAACUGGACCUGAAGACCCCGAGUGUGCAUCCAGGGUGGAGGGGUCUCCAUGCAGCUUUUCCUCGGGACGGUGGGGGUGGGGGCAGGAGGGCAUUGGGAUGGAGCUGCAAAAGACUCAACUCAAGCGUCUUUCCGGAGGCCUGAGGGACCCCCAGAUGUCUGGGUCCUGCCAGUCUUCACCCCUCACCCCACCGGCAAGCAGCACCCUUGUCAGGCUCGGCUUAGAGCCACAGCCAGAGUGCGCCCCCUAGCGGGGGCUCCGGGUGGGCCGAGCCUUCCAGGUUCAGCCUCUAGGAACUGAAGUUGGCAGAUCCAAGCGAUCCUGCAGGCAUGAAUGGGAGAAAGAAAACAAAAGCCUUGCAAACAUUUCCAAGCGUUCAAUAAAAG